CUACAUGUUUAUUUAUCUGCUUUUAUAAUUAAUAAUACCUUCUCCUAUCUUUGUACUUCCAACUAUUUAAUUAUAAAACCAAUUAACAUACUUAGGUCAACAAAUCAGAUCGAGCUCGUUCCCCGUGACAAACUUGGUUUUUGUUUUUAUUUUUAUUUUUAUCUUUUUCUUUCUUCUUCUGUCGACAAGCUCAAAUUGUCUUCAUAAACUUAAAAAGAAUAAGUUCCAUGUGUUUUUUUUUUUUUUUUUUUUUUUUUUUUUUUUUUUUUUUUUUUUUUUUUUUUUUUUUGCUAUUUAGAGUCUACGCACUCAAACAAAANUUUUUUUUUGAGAGAUAGAGAUAGGCAGCACGCUACCCGUUUCGUUUAUUUUAUUUAGAAAUAAACUUAGCUAGAAAUGUGAAUCAAUUAGGAUUCGAACUUAAGUCUCGGAUACCAACCACCAAGUCCUUUGCCACUUGCUCUAGAAAUGGUCGGUAAGUUCUAUGUGUUUUGUCGCGAGAAAAUAUAUGUCUCAAUGCGCGCCAACUUCAUUGAAUAUUUUAUACUAAAUACUCAUUUUUAGAGGUCGAUAGGUGGCUGUAGUUUCAAAUACAAUAUAAUUAGAGACCACACAGCCCUACGCGUGUAAUUCUAGAUAAUGACAUUGCAUUCAGUGUAACAUCUUAAUCUCGACUGCCGGUGCCAGAAGACGACAUUAAUUUCUCCCUCGUUGGAAUUAAAAGAGGGAGGAGGGAUGAAAGUUACAGGUGAGAAAUGAAACUGACAAGGGGCCGGCGAAGGAUCGUCUGCCCUCCCUAGUCCCUACUACAUUCUUGGUAGAAAAUGUGUAAGGUUGUCGUCAUCACGUGUGUUGUGUUGCUUUCAUGCGCGCGUGAACCAAGAACCAAAAAAAAAAAAAAAAAAAAGUCAUAAUAGAAAGUCGAUGAUGAUCGAUGACUAAUCACAAACGUUCCUAAAUGCAGACGGGCAAUUGCUCCACCGGCCACUGAUUAGUUGCUGGCGCAUUUCCUUAUCCAGAGAGCUCCAACCCUAAACCCUGCUGGUUAGGGAAGUUUGGAUUCACGAAUCUGUAUUAUAUAUAUCCCAUUUAAUUCAAAUGCAAGUAAUAUUUGAGUUUUUUUUCUCAAGUAUAAUUAUUUUAUUAUUAUUUAUUUUAAUGUAAUUCAUACUAUUUGAAAGUUAAAUUCAAUCAUUUUUUUUAUUUAUUUUGAUGUAACUUAAUUCUGGUAAAAUUAGUUUUUUGAGUUUUAUUAUUUUAAAGUUUUGAUGUAGGUAAUUAAGUGGAUACCUAUUACCUCCUAAUUAUAGUAGUAAAGUAACUCCCAUAAAAUUCAACCUAUUAAACAAUUAAAUCCUUCAUUAUUAUUGGAAGCAAUAUUAACUCAUUGUAAAAAAAAUAUAUAUAUAUAUAUAAUAACUUCAAUCUAUUUGAAAUGAAGUAGAGUGCAGAUUUUAAUAUUUGAUAAAUUUUUUAGAAAAAAUUAAGUGCGGUGAAACUUAAGUUCGGCACUUUAAAAAAAAGUUAAAAAUAAUUUUAAGUUAUAUUACUUUUUUGACUUAUAUUAAAAAAAAUUGAAAAUAAUAGAACUUGGGUUACACUUGGCUACUUAAUUACAAACCAAAUAGGCCCUCGAGGGAGAGAAAUUCUACACUGUCACACUUGUACCACGUCAUCAAUAGCAAGCCAAUCAUAUUUCUUCUUUUCAAACAAAAGUACAAUAAAAAUAUUUUUUUAUAAUCAUGAUGGGACAUAUAUGUCACGGACUUAACGAUUUAGUUCGCAACAUUCGUGCGGCGCUCGCCUUCCUUCGUGAAGUGAGCAAGCCUGUCUUUCUCUUGUACUAGUCUAGGGCGAGUGAAACUUGACAAGCAGAGAGGAUUCUUCAUAUCUCUCUUGUACUAGUCUAGGGCGAUGAGGUCCUAACUUGACAAGCAGAGAGGCAGACUUGCUCACUUCGCGAAGGAAGGCGAGCGCCGCACGGAUUUUGCGAAUCAAAUCGUUAAGUCCGUGACAUAUAGCUCUAAAUGAAGAUAUUUGAUUGGUUUGUUAUGCCAGGUCACCAAUAUACCCGUUGCAUUCUAAAAUUUUUCCUUGAGGGAUGGGUCGAUCAAUCGUUAAAUUUACGAUGAAAUUAUUAGACGCAUUGAUUUAAGAGCAAUAGUUAAUUACACUCUUUUGGUACGUUCUUCACAUUCUGUCGCCCCAUUUGACGUUGGCAUAAGAUUUUCUUGUCUUAAGAUUUUUUGAAUAUUAAGAGUUUUUUUGGACUGUCUCUAGCGCAUGUUCCAAAUGACUUAAUAGUUAAUAGUUAGUAUUUAAAAUUUUAAAUUUAAAAAUUAGUUAUUUUACAUUUUUAGUUAAAUUUAUUUUUUUAAAAAUACAUGUUAUAAUUAUUUUUCUUUUUGUAUGAUUGAAAGAUAGAAGUUUAAUUAAGGUUCUUAUUUUCACCGCUUGAUACGAUAGCAUAAUUCACUUCAAAAAUUAUUUGUCUUAUCUUAAAAAUAUAACCAAGAAAUUAAAUAUAAUAUUUAAUUCUAUACAUUUGAUUACAUUAACCAUCUAUCAAAUAUUAUAUGCUUUUUAAAUAAAUAAAAGAGCUAUACAAAAUAAAAUAUUCAUACUUUCACAUAGAGCCUUUUAUCAAGAAUUGUAUGGUAACAUUGACUUUGACCGUCAUUUCAAAAUAUAUUUCUAAUUAAUAGAAAUUACAAUUUCUUUCUUUGUUGGCAAAAAAUGAAGCACGGAAAAUAAUACUUUCAAAAAGUGAUGUUUUAUUAAUUGUUUGGUUUGUAGUGAAUAUAAAAGUCAUUUUAACUAAAUCUUACUUUUUUUGAAUUCAGCCUAAAAAAUUUCGAAGUCGCCGAAAAUGAAGAGGUUGUCUAAAAGAUUAUAUUUGCUCUUUAACUUUAAUCUUUAUAUUUCUUUUUAGAGUUAAAUUUCAUCUUAAAUUAAAAUUAAAAUUAUGAAUUUAAUUUCUCAUUUUCAAUUUUAUUUGCAAUUUGAAAUUCAACAUAAAAUUUUUAAAAUUCAAAUUCUCAAAUAUAUAUUUAAAUUUAAGUUCUAGUUUUAAAUUUUUAUUUCAAUUUAAAUUACAGUUUUAAAUUUUAAAUUUAAAUUAUAAUAAAAUAUUUAAAUUUAAAUUUUAAUCAAAUUAUUUUUAGUUAUGAACUUCAAUUUAAACUUUAAAUUCAAACUGCUUCAAACUCUAAACUUAGUGUCGGAUCAUUAGUGUUAACCAUUAAUCUCAAAAGCUCGAGCUGUUAGAAAUACGCAACCAAUUCACUUAAAGCGUACAGAUACAGCGCCCACGGGUCUCGAUUGUGACUCGGCCUAACCAGCCUCACUUCACUUCGAACAUGACUCGACCUAACCUAGCAUCACGUCAUUUCGAACAUGACUCGAUCCAACAUAGUCUUCCGCCAUAGGGCAGGAUGCUAACCCAUUUAAGCCAACACUUAGAUUAUCUAUUGAAACUUGAUUUCCAAAUUUAAACUUUUAAGUUGAAAUUGAAUUUUAGAAUUUAAUUUCAGUUAUGAGUUAUAACUUAAACUUUAAAUUUAAGUUGCAAAUUUGAUUGCAAGUCUUAAAUUUAAAUUAUAAAUUUAACACGGAUUUGAAAUUCAAAUAUAAGUUUAAAUUUAAAUUACGAGCAUUAAUCAUUUGUUUAUAUUUUUACUUUUUUUUAUUUCUAAUCAAAUAAUCAAGCUAUCGAAAUCAUAAAACUAUAUAUAUUUUUUAUUUUUUUACUUUAUAGCCAACCAAAUAAUCAAACUAAAAAGUAUCUUUUGUAAAUAUCACUUUUAAAAGAACUAGGCUGGAAUACUAUUAAUAGCACAAAUGACUUGAUGCUAUUAAGUUUUCUGCCAUUGGAUUAAAAGAUGUGUUGUUAGGAUGAUGUGGGCCCCCUAGAGUUGAGUGGGUGGUUAGUUGAAUAGUAUAAUCGAACGAAUGAAAAUGAUAAAAGAGAUAAAUCUAACGGCAGAAAACUUGAUAGCACCAAAUAUUUUGUGCUAUCAAUAGUAUCCCAGCCGGACUCCUUUUAAAAUAUAUAUACACACAUAUAUUUUUAAGGAAAAAUUUCAAAUACCACGCCUGUGGUUUCGCACUUUCUCACUUUAGUAUUUUGUGGUUUAAGUGUAUCAAUUUAGUACCAUAUGGUUUUAUUUUUCUUUUUUUAUUAGUCCAUUCACUAAUUUUCUUUUAUUAAAUUAGUAAUAAAGUUAAAACUAAAAAGUACUAAAGUGAAUAUUCGAUAAAUCUAGAUGAAGCAUCUGAAGUUUUUUGUAUAUAAUUUAACGAAAUCUUGACGAUAGAGUUGACGAAAAGAGAAAAGUAAAACCAGAGAAUACUAAAUUGAUACACUUUAAAUCACAAAAUGCUAAAAGUAAGGAAGUGCGAAACCACAGGAGUGGUAUUUGAAGUUUUACCUAUUCAAUAGUGUGGUCCCACGGACCGCACCUGAC
rnacentral:lncRNA from 1 species